AUUUUGCACAAUGGAGGAAACUCUGAUGCAGCAAUGCCGCGUGAGUGAAGAAGGCCCUUGGGUCGUAAAGCUCUUUCGGCCGGGAAGAAGGGUUUCCAAGCGAAUAGGUUGGGAAUUUGACGGUACCGGAAGAAGAAGCACCUGCUAACUUCGUGCCAGCAGCAGCGGUAAUACGAAGGGUGCAAGCGUUGUUCGGAAUUAUUGGGCGUAAAGGGUGCGUAGGCGGAAACAUAUGUCGAUUGUGAAAGCCCUGGGCUCAACCUGGGAAUUGCAGCCGAAACUGUGUUUCUUGAAUGCCUGAGAGGAUGGCGGAAUAACCGGUGUAGUAGUGAAAUACGUAGAUAUCGGUUAGAACACCUGAGGCGAAGGCGGCUAUCUGGCAGUGCAUUGACGCUGAGGCACGAAAGCGUGGGGAGCAAACAGG
rnacentral:rRNA from 1 species